ensembl:snRNA U6 U6 spliceosomal RNA
GUGGUCACUUCAGCAGCACAUAUUCUAAAAUUGGAACAACACAGAGAUUAGCCAUGGCCCCUCCACAGGGAUGACACACAAAUUCAUGAAGCAUUCCAUAUUUUU